rnacentral:tRNA from 1 species
GUGUAGCUCAGUGGUAGAGCACUUGUCUAGUAUGCAUGAGGCCCUGGGUUCCAUUCCCAACACA